rnacentral:lncRNA from 1 species
AAUAAUAACACUAUCAUUCAUAUUCAAACAACAACAAUAACUGUUACAGCAGCAGCGGCAUUUACUACUCUUAUUCACUUGACGUGGACUACUCUAACCAAUACAACAGACUCAGUCAAGACUCACUCACCCACCCCAAUUCAUGCCUUUUUCUUUUUCUAUUCUAUUUCUAUGCUUUUCUGCUAUACACUUUACACCUUCUUCUCUUUCUUUUCCUUCUCCUCC